ACCACAGAGUUCUGCAGUCAGUUGAGAAGCCUGGGCCCUUACAGCAGAUGUAGGGUUUGCUAGAGGAAGCUGAGCUAGUAAGACAGGGUGCACUGGAAAGAAGCUGCUGAAAAUAACUGUUUAGAGAGGCUGUAUAGCUGGCAAGGGAGACUGAUCCUGUUUUAGCUCCCUGAAGACUGGCUUCACCAGGCCUAGAGAUUUUUGUUUUGGGAUGUUGAAGUUCUGAGUAGUCCUAACUUGGGCUCUGAGACUGUUAGUGUGAACUCCUUACCUCAUGGAAGGGGAAACUGAGACAGGCUGCAGCAGGGACACUUAGAAGGGGGUACUACAGAACAGGUUCACCCUGAGACAGUGUAAACUGAAUCAGUAUCUUCAUUCUGAUGGAUUCCACUAACUUUUCCUCUCUUGUUACCAGUGGUCUCCACA